AUUUUAUUAUUUUUACGUUGUGAUUUCUAAUAGUGCGGUGCUAAAAGACAAGUACUAAGAUAAUAAAUAUCUAUGAGAUGAGGUAUUGUAUACUUUAUAUAUAAUCUGAGAAUAAUAUUAAGUAAAAACGAGAUAACUGACAAAGUAAUGUUAAAUAAAAUAAGAGAUCACUGUGGCGUUUCGAGAGGAGGUAAGUGGAUUGCAGUCUACCAGUCACCGAUCCAACUACAAAAUAUUUGUAGGUAAAAGUGUGAUGUAAUGAGUUUAUACGGUGUACAUCUAGUUUUGUGUAUAUAAACUUAGAUGAGAGCUGUUAUACUAAAAGAAAGUAUAUGAAACGUUGACGCAUCAUGACAAUGACGCUUACUAUAAGUAGUCGAAAAUGCAAGCGCAGAGUUCAACGAAUAGUCCAGAAGACUUACGCUUAUAAUACGCAGUCAAGUUGCCGAAAUUGAAAUAGCUGUAGAUCAAAGUUAUGCUUUUGUGGUGCUGCGCAGAUAUUAGACAGUUAAUAUAAAAACGCAUGACGAGAAUUAUUCCAGUUGUGAAAAAGGAAAAGUAUCAUUCAAUUCCAGAUGCUGGUAAAAGGUUGUACCUAUUGCAGUAAAAAACAAAAGGCAUUCUGAUGAAAACGUUACAACCACUUACGUGUACAAGAGUGGAAGAAGACGACUCGGAACUGCUAAAAAUCAGACAGAAUACCUCGAAAACUACAUGAAAAGUUAGUCUCUUGUGGAGGAUUUACUCAAAGUUUAUGUUGAAUGUUUUAUUACAGUAACGAUAUUGCAGUUCUUUUCCAUAAUUAGUGAGUAUAUCUUUCAAAUCAUUUUUCUGUUAAUAAUUUUUACCAACAACAUUAUGAAUGCAGUAGAACUUUUGUAGUUUCUCAGCAAGCUCCAGUAUAUUACAUUGGUGCUGCAAUGAAGAGAAUGAUAAUAAAGGAACAAAAAAACCAUGGGCAAUAUUAUGUUAAAGUUUUAAGAAUAUUACGUCUUCUAAGGACAGUAUUCUUUUGAUACAAUGCGUUUGAAAUUUAAAUACUGAAACUGAAGUGAUCGUUGAAGUUCGGCUAGAAAUAAUUGUGAGGUUUUCUGUGAAAGACUCGUAUACAGUAAAACUACAGAAUAUAAAGAAACAGCAUCAUUGUAUUCUGGAUAUAGACACUUUUUAGUUUUUUAUUACAAGUAAAAAUGCGUUCAGAAAGAUUAUUGCGUCUUCCUUGAUAACAAAGGUAUUUUUGUAUUUGCUCUUGGAUCCUGCACUGAAAGUCUAAACUUCAAUGAUACCAUCAAUUCUUCCACAACGUUUGCAGUUGGGUGGAUAUGAAGUUGCAGUUCAUGAAUGCAAUUAUUUAUCAACACGAUUUACAAUGACAUGUUUCAGAGGAAAAUUUUAACAUAGUUGUUCUCAUGAACUGAAUUCAUAGCUGACUGUAAAAAAUAAUUUUAAAAAAGUGAAAUGAAUUCUUUUGGCACUGUUCAGUACAAUGAUACAGAUCAGAAAUAAACAAGGAGGAAGAAAUUACAAUGAGUGGAUGAUGUUACAAUGUAAUAACAUGUUCUCUUAAUGCAAUGAUCUGCAUGUCACUUCAGUGCUCACAGUUCCGUAUGUACAGCGUCGUAAGGAACAGGAGAUGUUAGAGUGAAGAGUGAGCAAGUAUCAACAGUAUCAAAGAGCAUGAAAUCAAAACUUGUUGCUGUACGCAGUGAAACUCCAAUACGGCUGUUGCAUGAGUAUUCGCCUUUCAAAGCUCUUCGAAUGUGGAAGAUGAAGUUUACAUGUCCUCCCAUCUUUACGCAGUGAUGUUUCUCAACACGCCGCCUGGCCGUAAGCUUCGAGUGCGCAGGAGGAGCUGCGCUCGAUGGCGAUCCGCGAGGCGGCGCGCAUGUACCUGCACCACCCGUCGUCGUACUACCUGUCGGCGGGCCCGUACCUGCCGCACACGGCCAUGUACCCGCCGCACACGCCGCCCGCCGUCUUCCCGCCGCCGCUGCACAUGGGGCCGCCGCUGCCCUUCACCGUGCCGCCGUCGCCCGAGUCUCCGCCGCAGUCGCGACCGCCCACCAUGUAGCCAGCCGGCGCAGCACAGUUGUCGUCGACCGAAUGUUGCCAGCCAGUGAGUGCUCUGGAGCCGACGACUUGCUGAGUGAUCACCACCAUCGAGGCGUCGCGAGGUCUUGGGGACAGCCCAGGCGUCUGGUCCGCCUGCCCUCUGUCGGUCGUGUGGGGCGACAUAUCCUGGAAAAAGAUGGAGAGUGGAUAUUGGCAGUGAGCAUUAUGAACUUGCUAUUUUCGUGGUCAUUCAAAUUUUAAUAUGUAAUAUGUUACCCAGGAGGAAAAGUGAAAACAUGGUUGUGUAAGGAGUAAGAGACUAAAGAUAAAAAAUAUAACCGAACUGUACCAGACUAGUGGUAAGAUGUAGUAAGGUGCUGUGCAGUUUCCACCAUGUUAAGGGCGCCACAAAUGACUUUUUUGAUGUAUCAGUAAUAAGUAAAUAUUGUGCUGUGUAUGAAGUAAAGUGCUAAUAAUCCAAAGAUCUCAUAAUGAUGGUAGAAAUUAGGUCUCCAGAUCUACAAAUUUGGCGCAGCUGUGUGGUUGUGAAUGCAACCAACGUGUGACUUCUGCUGUCAUGUCUGAAAUGAAAACAAAAUGCUUCUAAUCCCCAGGAUGCGCACUACGUUCAGUUUCUUCAGCAAUCCUUAAUAGACACUUUCAGCGUCAUCUUGGAGUUCAUGGAAGGAGCAGAACAUGCUGUAAUUUCAGUGCACACACACACACACACACACACACACACACACACACACACACACACACACAUACCCACAGAGGAAAAAAGUUAAAUGUGUUUGUAUAGCCACCUUGUAAACUUCCUAAAGAGUCAGGCAUUUUUAUGCAGUUUUAAAACAAUAUGAUAUUGUGAAAUAGUUUGGAAUAAAUGUUUAUUGGAGAGCCUGAACCAUGCCUGUUUAUUUUUCCCAUAAAAGGAAUAUUUUGUCGUAUUAAAUAAUGACAUUUUUAAAAUUUGGAACAGGAUAAAAAUAUGGAACAUCAUUCUUAUUUCUAACUUGUUAUGGUGUUAAUAGUUCCAACUGGAAAUUCAAUCGAAAAAUAAGUUUCAAUCACUUUUUAGUUUGGACACAUUACUAUUCAUAUCUAUUUGCCACUCUGUAUGUUAAUAUGUGAUUGUUUACUUUGGACAAACUAUGAUGUGAACUCAUGUACAUAAUUUAUUGUUGUCACCUGCUAUUAUUAUUCUAGAUUUUUGAGAGUUUUUCUAUUGUUACUACAGCUGUCCUAUAUACAUUAAUAUGGCUAUACUGUCAUUGUUAUUAACUGAGAACAGAAACGGGUGCUGUAAAUGGACCUAUGAAACAAUUAUAUUUUCUCAUCUGUUUAGGAGCUUUAUGUUUGACAUCUCAAAACACUGCAUGGACUUGAUACAGUAAACCAAGAGAGAGAAUAUAUAGAGGGCCGGUGCCGAUGUGUUUUACUUGUUCCAAAAUCAGAAAUUAAUAAAUAACUUUUUGUUAAUUUUUAUAGCCAGCCAGCCUGUAGUUGUAAAUUAUUUGGUACUGAACAGCUCCUAUAAAGCAAAUAAAGUAAUUUUAGUGAUCUGCAAGAGCAGAAAAAGAUAAUGAACCUCUCUGCAAAGGGGUGUUCAUCACAUGUGUUGGAUUAAUACUAAGGUCUAAAGGCACAUUUCGAAAUAUUCUUUUCUGUACUCAAAAUUCUCCCAUGAUUUACAUAACAAAUUGGUAAUGACUGCCCAUUGAGCUUCCUUUUGAUGUUCACUUGUGAGAAAGUAAAAGAAAAAUGAUUGUGUUUUGUAGUCUACUUCAUCAAAAUUCCUCCACAUAUGUACACAAAUUUAAAUAUGACUUACUCCAAGUUGAUAUACAUUUACUGUUUUUUCAAUAUAAAACUGUGUGAGCAUAUAAAACAGUUUUACUAUCAACUACAUAAAGAAGUACGUUUACUUGAUGUUAGAUGUAAUGAUGUUAAAUUAGGUGUAGAAAACACAUAGUUUUGAUGACAUAUAAUGAAUUCAUAAAUAUAUUUCCCACAAAUUCAAUAUAAAUAGAUCGUAUUUGGCCAUAUUUAGCAGUCACUUUAUAUACUGGUGUAUACAACACUCUUUAAUAUGAAAUUUCUAUUGAUGUCAAUGUUUAAAGAAGAAAUUUAGCUUCAGUGUUUUAUAAUAAAAUUAUAUUCUAUAUAUAAUUAUGUAAUUAGUAUUAUAUCGCCGAAAAUCUUCUAUUUUAGUAACAACACAGUUACUAAUAAACUUCUGUGUGUGUAUAAUAUUUCCCUUAAAUUAUUCACACAGGCUUUGAAUGGCACAUUUAAUGGAAGAAGAUGGUUAUCUAUCUGAAUCAAAUAUAAAUUAAUAAUUGAAUCUUCAGAGAUAUGUAUAUAAACAAUUAUGUUUUCUAGAUGUUUUAAUUGAGGGGAAAUAAAAUGUGAAUGCUUUUAUGAAAAAUGUAAUGAGAGGCUAUAACCAUAAUAGCUAUUAUGAUCAAAUCAAAGAAGUUUCUAAAGCAUUGAGUACCAUUCUCUUUCUGUUCACAAAACUUCAAUUCUUCUAUUGCGUCCAUUUGCUGUAAAGAUAUUAUCAGAAUAUUUUUUAUAAUGUACACAGCAUGCCAAUCAUGGUCCUUAUACUUUUUUAAAAGAAUUAAUUUUUGUACUGUUGUACUUUAGAAAGGCAAACUUUUGAAAAAUAUUAUAGUUUCUUGAAGCCAAUAGCUAUAAGAAUUUAAAAGUAUUCACAAAGUAAUGAUGAAAAGGACCUUCCAUUAAAAACAAAAAUUGUCAAUGACACAUCAGAACACCCAUCCGAAUUAAUUAUUAUAAUGUACUUAUUAAUGUUAUAUGUCAAUGGUAUAUGUGGUAGUGUGAAAUAUUAAUAUGUACGCUGAUGCCGUGUGUAAAAGGAUAAGUUGUAUGUAAAUGCUUCAAAUUUGUGCAUGUAGUAUUACCUACCUAAUUCAAAAUAUAUAGUGUUGUUGUCUGAUUCAAAACCAACUAUAUGUUGAAGAGUCUUAGUUGGGAAUGAAUGUUUGUUUUAACACAGAUUGCUUGGAGGACUUGUGAUAUCCUAUUCCCUCCUAUUUAUGUGCUAUGACCUCCUACAUAUUUUGUAACUGCUAUUACAGUUGUAAUAUUAAUGAAACUAGUAGCUAUUAAUUAAAAUAUUUUCAAAUAUA